UCUGACCUUAGAGGUGUUGCAGGUGUGGCUGCUGUUGUCACAUGUAUAUCAGUAGGUGCAAAAGAAGAGAGAGGAUACAUCUAAACUCAAUGGUCUGACCUGUAACCAUCCAAAUGAUUAGUAGCCUAACAUU